CCUACGUGCGGCAGCAGUGGGGGAUAUUGCACAAUGGGGGGAACCCUGAUGCAGCGACGCCGCGUGGGUGAAGAAGCGCCUCGGCGCGUAAAGCCCUGUCAGCAGGGAAGAAAUGACGGUACCUGAAGAAGAAGCCCCGUCUAACUACGUGCCAGCACGCGCGGUAAUACGUAGGGGGCAAGCGUUAUCCGGAUUUACUGGGUGUAAAGGGGGCGCAGACGGCGAUGCAAGCCAGGAGUGAAAGCCCGGGGCCCAAACCCGGGACUGCUCGUGGAACUGCGUGGCUGGAGUGCAGGAGGGGCAGGCGGAAUGCCUGGUGUAGCGGUGAAAUGCGUAGAUAUCAGGAGGAACACCGGUGGCGAAGGCGGCCUGCUGGACUGCAACUGACGUUGAGGCCCGAAAGCGUGGGGAGCAAACAGGAUUAGAUACCCUAGUAGUC
rnacentral:rRNA from 1 species